rnacentral:rRNA from 1 species
ACUCCUACGGGAGGCAGCAGUAGGGAAUCUUCCACAAUGGGCGCAAGCCUGAUGGAGCAACACCGCGUGAGUGAAGAAGGGUUUCGGCUCGUAAAGCUCUGUUGUUAAAGAAGAACACGUAUGAGAGUAACUGUUCAUACGUCGACGGUAUUUAACCAGAAAGUCACGGCUAACUACGUGCCAGCAGCCGCGGUAAUACGUAGGUGGCAAGCGUUAUCCGGAUUUAUUGGGCGUAAAGAGAGUGCAGGCGGUUUUCUAAGUCUGAUGUGAAAGCCUUCGGCUUAACCGGAGAAGUGCAUCGGAAACUGGAUAACUUGAGUGCAGAAGAGGGUAGUGGAACUCCAUGUGUAGCGGUGGAAUGCGUAGAUAUAUGGAAGAACACCAGUGGCGAAGGCGGCUACCUGGUCUGCAACUGACGCUGAGACUCGAAAGCAUGGGUAGCGAACAGGAUUAGAUACCCUGGUAGGAUAGCG